GCCGUCUUAGCUCAGCCGGUAGAGCCCAUGUUUUUGAAACUUGUGGUCGUGGGUUCGAUUCCGACAGACGGCA